GAGAUCUGAUGAUUUAUAAGGGGUUUUCCUCCUUUUGCUCUGCCUUCUCCUUGCUGCUGCCAUGUGAAGAAGGACGUGUUUGCUUCCCCUUCACCAUGAUUGUAAGUUUCCUGAUGUUUCCCUAGCCCUGCAAAAGUGUGAGUAGAAAUGAAGAUAGGCAAGAACUGAAUCUUCAAAGAACAUUAACAAGCCACUGCUUGUUUGCACCCGUCCUGGCUCCAUGCAAUUUACUUUAAUGCAUGGCACUAAACCACAUCAUGCCCAUCAGAGUGCCUGCGACACAGGACGUAAUCAAUAGGAAGCUGUCAGCAAAUGCUGCUGAAGAGUGAGUGACACAUGGUGAUCCUUGGGAGAAAGAUGCUCAACUAUGAAUGGGGCUGCCUGCCAUAAACAUGACCCUUCACCCCUGCAAAGAGAGCUUUCAUUAUAUAUUUCUGCAGCUGAGUUCUUCAGGGAAAAUAGAAGGCAUCUGGCAGCUGACCCAGAGCAACAAAGUUCCUCUACUGUCAGUUUCAGCCCCGUCCCUCUUAAAACUAAAAUUUACGUUGAGCCUCUGCUGCUUCUGCCCUUGCUUUCAUCAUAGGGGGAGUUGGACCUGUCAGUGGGUGCAGAUGGAAGGCCCUACUUGAGUUGGAGAGCAUGCAGGUUCUGCAGACGCAUUGUCUACAGCCCUAUUGAAAAUUACCUUUGUCCAGUAACAGUCAGAUGGAGCAAAUUGGUUUUAUUUAUUUAUUUAUUUAUUUCCUACUCAUUGGAAGGAAAAGGGACGAUGGGGCUGGGAGGAGGGAGGGAAAGGGUGGCAAGGUUUAUGCUGCUUCAUUUCUCUGAAACAAUGGUCUGUACUGAUAUUGUCUACAGGGUAGAAGACGGGCUGUCGAGUAAAGCAAGACAAAUGUGAUGUCCUGACUGAUUAUUCCUUAGAUACUAAGUCAGUGAGCUGAUUAUCACUGCAAUUACAUUACCAGUGUCAACAGAUGCCGCGUGUAGGCAACAAGUUAACAAUUAAGUGGGCUCCUGGCCCUGAGACCUCACUCCACAGCAAAGCCUGUGUAAACUCUUCCACUUUAGAUACCUGCAUGGACGAAUCUGAUGCCUGAAAACAGAGGAAGGUGUUUCCUGACCACGGUGUAGCUGACAGACAGGCUUCUCUGCUUUCAGGGCGGGGAUCUCCCCUUCAGAUGAGGCGAUUCUGCACUCCAAGAUCUGACUUUAUUGACAUCUGUAAAUUAAUUGAGUUACAAAAUAAGAAGGUAAAUGUGGCCACAUGCAAAUGCGCAUACUCAUUCUUCCAGAAAAAAGUCACAUGAUGAUGACCAUUUGCGUUUUUGAAUAAAAUGGUGUUUCUUAUUUCUUUAAGAAGCUUCCAUACCAGCAGAACACAUUUCCCAACAAGGGAUAGUGAGUUUCACUGUGAGUGUGUGUUUCUGGAUAAAACACAAUGCUCUCCCUAGAAGGCCCUUGAGGGCUGUUUGCUCCCAGCUAACAAUGCUGGGGUGGGGGUGGUCCCGCUCCUUGCUGUCAGAAGCCACAUGCGCUCGCCCUGGCUCCUCUCCCUGGGUCUGCUGGGCAGCGUGCACUUGGUAUAGAAAGAAAAUGAGUGCAGCAUCUCUUCUUUCCUCAUGCUCUCCCCUACCAGAUGCAAGAGGCACUGUGGGAGGAGAGGGAAGUUGCAUGUUCUGGGUUUUCAGACACAAGCAUUUAGUCACAUGAAUUCGCUUCAAAAAAAAUUAAAAAGUCAAAUACAAAGAUCGUCACACUUUUUUUCCCAUUACCACAUCAAGGGCGGUAUCUCUCACAUGUGUGAUAUAAAAACAAGUGGGCAAUACAUCCGCAAUGGCUUCCCAGGCCCAGCUCACAAGGUCUCUUUCAAUGCUAAUUAGCCCUGAUGGUGAAGACAAUGUGGGCCCAGGAAUUGUUUUUGACUAUCCAUUAGGUUCUUUGCAACCAAUUCAAAACAUGUGAACGGUGAUUCCAAAGUAGCCCGAGGACGGCUGAGGAUGGAUCCAGCCGAGGAACCAAGUGGAGCCAGUAGAUGCCUGUGGCUGUGCAGAUGUGCGGUCUCCCCGGGGCCUCAGCGGCCCGCAGAGGGUCUUCGAACACGACCACAUUGCUGAAGUUUCGAAGAAUGAUUUUUCUUCCGGAAAACAGCAGUACAACCUUCAAAAGAGAAUUUCAUUUUUUUUUUUAAUUCUUCUCCAAGCUUCUGGGUCAGCGACAAGUGGCUCUGACGAAUAUUUUAAGAUGUUUAUUGUUUAUCUGGAUUGAUUUCAGUGAUGAGUCAGAAGCAUAGUGGGGAGGAGAAGAAAUGGAAUGAUACAAGUGAGGAAUGAGAGAGAAACUUAUUUUCUUAUGCAUAUUAUAUACGUGUGUGUGUGUGUGUGUGCUGUAGAUUCAUAUGGAUAAUUGAAACUCACUAUUAAAGUUAGAUUAAUAUAUUAGACACAAAGUAGAUACCAGUUCCAAAGGAAAGCAGCCUGUCAUGCUCUACUUAUAAAAACAAACAUACAAACAAGCCAGAGGACUGGUCUCGUUUCUUCUUUUAGUUAAAUUUACAUCAUAGACUCUAAUGAAAGUGAACAGCUUAUCAGUUGAAGCAUCCUAAACAUUCUCCCCACAUAAGACUUGCAUAGUUUCUGAAUCCUAAUGCCAUCCGUGCAUAAUUUUAAAUUAGAAUUAUUUUAUUGCUAACAAAUUUGAAUUUGAAGAAUUCAAAAGACUCCAGCUUAUCAAUAUUUUCUGAACCUUAUUUUAGAAAUCGUAGACUCCAGACAUAACUUUAACCACGUAGAUGCAUG
rnacentral:lncRNA from 1 species